AGGUAAGGAUCUGGAGCUUAGAGAUAUAAAGCAAUGUACCUAAGUGCUGGAGUUGUACCUCCAGCAUUUAGCACCAUGUUUUAGGUACAGGACAAGGCAAGAAGAAAGCACGCUUCUCACCUAAACUGGCCACCAAAAUGCCCUGUACUGCUCCUGCUGCACUAGAAGACCUGAACAAAGCUGGAGCCCAGAUGUGAAUGUCAUUUUCCAGACCAUCACACUGAGCAAUAUUCCAGGAAUACGAAGAACUAACCUGGGACAAAUGUGAUAAUCAAUUGAGUGCUGCACUGAAGCAGAAAUGAGCAGACUGCCAAAAUCUGAAUUUUAAGUUGGGAUCCAGCAAACAGAAAAGGUCCACUAAGGUUGUCUAGACUCCAGACCCUGCUCUAAAAGGCCCAUAAUUUGAGUGGAGCCAAAGAAGUGAGCUUCACGGAUCAGGACUCAUGGAAGCAUCCAACCCACAUGCACAUGAGCAUGAGCAGAGGAGAUAUGCACAAUAUGCGUGUCUGUAGUUCUUUGCUACCCAAGUGACACAUAACGUUGAUAAUGACCAAUGAGCACAGAAUUCCAGUGGAUUCAUGAUGCAUGAGAGUUCAACGAGACAAAGUGAGUGCAAGAACAUAACUGUUGCUUGAGCGAGUAACAAACCAUGAUUAUUUGGACCUGGAUACUGCCACAGACAUUUUCUCCAAAACGAAGUGAGUCUGCCACUUCAAGGAAACUGACAGUAUUUGUUGGCAAUAAUAAAAAUUUAAACUUUCAAGUGAAAAAUUAGAAUUUUGGAAAACUUGGAUAUACCCCUGUGAGCCUGACAGCUUCCCAAUAAUAAAUGACUUUUCUCAUGA